UCAGUUCAAUUCAAAUCAUCAACGCUCUACCACUGCUGAGUCACCUGUUGUUUUUGACCUUGCAAAUAGGAUUCACACCUUUCUACAACAGAUCAGCUGACAACAGAGAGCCUCCUGACUUCCUGUUCUAACAGCAGCAGCUCCACAGACGAGCAGGAGGGCAGCAUGCUGACUCUGGGUCUGGUACUGGUGGUUCUACUGCUGGUGGUUCUGGUCACUGCAGUUGGACUCUUCACUAAAGGACCUGAACACCUCGUAGUCUGUGAUUGGACCAGAACCUCCUGUGUUUACCAGACAGCUCUGAAGUCAGAAGUGAACCGAUCUGUCCAGCAGCUGGAGAGGAAAAUGACCACUGAGGCCGUUUACUGCUGCAGGUGAUUCUACCUGCUCUGGGGUCACAGUUGGGGUCAGUUAUUUUACAUUUUUAAAAAUGUUUAUAGUGUUUCAGUUUGCAGCCAGUAACAGCUCAUACUGUGAGUGUUUGAAUCUCUUUCCGUUUGGUUUUAGAAACUCUGAACUGUUUCUGACACCAAAAGGUUAAAGGUCGCCAUUAAACUGAACCACUGAUUCAUUCAUGACUCGGCUUGCAGCGUUAUCGUCGUCACUCAGUGAUGAGAGAAACCGGCUGAAACCUCAAACCUCAUAGAAGGUUUCCAGGUUGAGCCCCAGCUNAACUCCCAUGACGCAUGAAACGAAACAUACUUUAAGGGAAAUUAAUUAAUAAUUCUUUGAUUGCUGUUACAACGGGAAAGUAAAGCCUAUUUCUAUUCUGUUUUAUCAAGUUGCUGGCCUGAUUAAAAACCAGUCGGCUUGUUCUACGCUUCACACACUUGGCUGCUGAGAAACAAUUGUUUCUUGCAUGCGUGGGCUCUGAGGUUUUAAAUUUUUCCUAGCCGCUAACAUUUGACCAUGUCAUAUGUAGUUCUGACUUUAGCCCAGGUCAUCAGCUCAGAUAAGAGAGCAAAUAAAUUACCAGACAUGUUAAUAAAGAAGCACACGUUUGAUUA